rnacentral:misc_RNA from 1 species
GUGAAUCAUCAAAUCUUUGAACGCAAAUUGCGCUCUCUUCGGCGAGAAUGCCUGUUUGAGGGUCAGCCUAAAAAAUAUCGACAUAGUUGCUGUUACGCGGUAACAUUCGUCGGAUCUUGGGUCAUCUUAAACUUUUGGGUUUAAGCGGCUUAAAAUUUUCUUUACGAUUGCAUGAAGGUUUGUAAGUUUUUAUCUUCUUAUAUGUUUAAGGUAUCGAUCUUUAUUUGAUGUGGCAGUUGCAUGGGCUCUGGUCCAUAAUUAUUUCGUUAAU